rnacentral:lncRNA from 1 species
AUGGUUUCCACGUUAGGAAUCGCUUUACUAUGCUGCGCGGCGCUCACCGCGGCCGUGCCCUCCCCGGCCCUCCGACCCAACCACCUGCCCGCCGACUUCGACAUCAUCGUCAUCCAGAUCGACGAACCCUCCUCAGAGUCCGGCGAGCGGGAGGGCAGCGGGGUCUACGACGACAUCCUCAACCAGUUCUUCAGCUUCCAGCUCCCCGAAUUCCCCGGCUUCGGGCGGUACUUCUUCGACGAGGACGCCUCCCAACCCUCGGCGGAAACGGAAAUCGAGCGACCGGAAACCGUCAAGCGCCAACCGGAAACCGCCAAGCGUAGACCGGAAAUAGACGACAUCCGACCGGAAACAACGAUGGCGCCGGUCACGGAAGUGACGACGCAUUUUAUCCUGACCGAUAGCGCUGGCAGCGGUCACAACUUCGGCCUAUCGAGCCUGUUAAGCAGCAUGAUGUCGAGCGUCCUGUCCAGUUUCGUGCAGGCGCUGAAGCAGUCACCGGAAAUGGUGAACGCCAAACCGGAAACGCUGGCGUCGAGCGAGGAAGAUCAACCGGAAGUCACUCGGGUGGCCGGUGGAAAGCCUCAGGACGACCUCGACGAGGAUCUCGAGAGGAGAAUCGAGCGGCUUUUCAUGGAAAACGACGAAAAGGACAACGAUUUGAAACACGGCGGGGCUAAGAAGAUACCCCUCCUGCACGAACAUAAAUUUUUCGCGGCUGAGAAGCCGCGCGGAGCCCUGUUUCCGGUCAUAGAGCACCGAGUCGAGACAAGUGAGCCAAAAUCUAAUGAAAAUAAACCUAAACUGAGCAAAACCGAGGAGACAAAACUGAGCCCAGCCCAGAAAAAUGACCCGACGUGGAUUUCCGGCAAGCUGGAGUUCGACCGGAAAAUCCUGGAGCUUUUAUCCGCGAUGGACGAUCUCCCAGAACCGGUUUCAGAAGACGUCUCCACGGCUUCGCCUUCGGCGAAGACCACGAGAAGUGUCGAAAACCUGGACUCGGAGGAACCGGUCGCCGGUGAACGCGUCGUCCGCGAGAACUCCAACGCAUCGGUGUCUCCUUUCGACGACCAGUCCACGGAGGAGGUUCCGAUCUUCGGGGAGUCCGAGGAGGCGGAGGAGACUCCCGCCGCCUCUUCCGAGGAGCAGGAACAUUUCUACGUGCCCCACGGAGAGAGCCCCUCCCCGGAGGUCUUCCCGAGCACCUACCUGUUCCUGCCGCGCUUCGAGGAGACACGCCGCAGCAUCCCCGAUCUCACCGCGGAGGUCGUCCUCGUCCCCGCGCCCCGACCUCCGCGGAGGUACAUCCCGGAUUUCGAACACUAUUCCAGUUUAGGCCACGAGAUUCUCGGGUAUCCUAGUUUAGGCCACGGAUAUCCCGGUUCCGGUUACGAUUAUCCUAGCUCAGCAUAUGAUUAUCCCGGUUUAGGCCACGAUUAUUCAAGUUUAGGCCACGGUUAUCCAAGUUUAGGCCAUGAUUAUUCAAGUUUAGGCCACGAUUUCCGUGCUGUUCCAGCUUUCGGCCACAGUUACACGUCUAUGGCCGACUAUGCGAGGCCAGCGGCCCCGAGAUUCGUGGCUGCUCGAUCGCACCCUUAUGCAGAUUUGCUGUGGCCCCGACGUAAAAUGCCGAUGAGUUACCAUCCAUCCCUGGAGUAUUUAGAUGUAGCGGAGCCUCGUCCGCCUAUGGCCCCUCAGUAUUUCCUUUUAUAA